rnacentral:rRNA from 1 species
AACAAGGAUUCCCCUAGUAACUGCGAGUGAAGCGGGAAGAGCUCAAAUUUUGAAUCUGGCGGUCUCUGGCCGUCCGAGUUGUAAUCUAGAGAAGUGCUUUCCGCGCUGGACCGUGUACAAGUCUCCUGGAACGGAGCGUCAUAGAGGGUGAGAAUCCCGUCUCUGACACGGAUCCCCAGUGCUUUGUGAUGCGCUCUCGACGAGUCGAGUUGUUUGGGAAUGCAGCUCAAAUUGGGUGGUAAAUUCCAUCUAAAGCUAAAUAUAGGCGAGAGACCGAUAGCGAACAAGUACCGUGAGGGAAAGAUGAAAAGAACUUUGGAAAGAGAGUUAAACAGUACGUGAAAUUGCUGAAAGGGAAACGCUUGAAGUCAGUCGCGUUGACUUGAAAUCAGCCUGGCUCUUUUGCUUGGUGUACUUUCUUGUCGACGGGUCAGCAUCAAUUUCGGCUGCUGGAUAAAGGCGGAGGGAAUGUGGCACCUCUCGGGGUGUGUUAUAGCCCUUCGUUGUAUACAGUGGCUGGGAUUGAGGAACUCAGCACGACCUUCGGGUUUGGGGCUUCGGCCUACAUUCGUGCUUAGGAUGCUGGCAUAAUGGCUUUAAUCGACCCGUCUUGAAACACGGACCAAGGAGUCUAACAUGCCCGCGAGUGUUUGGGUGUUUAAAACCCGAACGCGUAAUGAAAGUGAAAGUUGGGAUCCCUGUCGUGGGGAGCACCGACCCCCGGACCUGAACUUCUGUGACGGCUCUGCGGUAGAGCGUGUAUGUUGGGACCCGAAAGAUGGUGAACUAUGCCUGAAUAGGGCGAAGCCAGAGGAAACUCUGGUGGAGGCUCGUAGCGAUUCUGACGUGCAAAUCGAUCGUCGAAUUUGGG